rnacentral:rRNA from 1 species
CGAUCUGUGACGAGUCAGCGUUAUCGGAUUACUGGGCGUAAGCGCGCGCAGGCGGUUGUGCAAGACCGAUGUGAAAUCCCCGAGCUUAACUUGGGAAUUGCAUUGGUGACUGCACGGCUAGAGUGUGUCAGAGGGGGGUAGAAUUCCACGUGUAGCAGUGAAAUGCGUAGAGAUGUGGAGGAAUACCGAUGGCGAAGGCAGCCCCCUGGGAUAACACUGACGCUCAUGCGCGAAAGCGUGGGGAGCAAACAGGAUUAGAUACCCUGGUAGUCCACGCCCUAAACGAUGUCAACUAGUUGUUGGGGAUUCAUUUCCUUAGUAACGUAGCUAACGCGAGAAGUUGACCGCCUGGGGAGUACGGUCGCAAGAUUAAAACUCAAAGGAAUUGACGGGGAGGGGGGGCCCC